rnacentral:miRNA from 1 species
CCAAAACCCGGAGUGGAUUGA